AGAAUCAACGCUGGCGGCGUGCCUAACACAUGCAAGUCGAACGAGAAAGUGGAGCAAUCCAUGAGUAAAGUGGCGCACGGGUGAGUAACACGUGACUAACCUACCCUUGAGUGGGGAAUAACUUCGGGAAACCGAGGCUAAUACCGCAUAACACCUACGGGUCAAAGGAGCAAUUCGCUUAAGGAGGGGGUCGCGGCAGAUUAGUUAGUUGGCAGGGUAAUGGCCUACCAAGACGGUGAUCUGUAUCCGGCCUGAGAGGGCGCACGGACACACUGGAACUGAAACACGGUCCAGACUCCUACGGGAGGCAGCAGUGGGGAAUUUUGCGCAAUGGGGGAAACCCUGACGCAGCAACGCCGCGUGGAGGAUGAAGUCCUUGGGACGUAAACUCCUUUCGAUCGGGACGAUUAUGACGGUACCGGAAGAAGAAGCCCCGGCUAACUUCGCGCCAGCAGCCGC
rnacentral:rRNA from 1 species